GUUAUCAAGUCCAGUAACACAACUUUCUCCAGCGCUUUAUACAGUUCAGAUCGUUUCAAAGCAGCUUCACAGCAAUAAACAGGAGAAUAACGUGUUGCAAGAUUCAUCAGCCAUGAAACUAGUUCAGUUUAAGGACUGCAGGAGAUAACGGUGUCAUUAUUCAGGCCAGGUUCGGUGAGCGUCUCGCAGCUGGCGGUUCGUGCUGUCAGACGCAUGCGGAUCCGAAGGAGAAGGGCAAAGGGCAGAGGUCACAGAACUGAUGAGGGCUAGAGGUUUCACAACACUUUCAGCUGCAGUGGCACAAGAUACACAUCAGAUCCAGAGGAAACAGGUGUGUGUGUGUGUGUGUGUGUGUGUGGCCACCUGGAGGACAAACACAUCUCAGGGAGACAGACUGUGGAGGAAGUAGAAAUACAUCUGAGGAAAGAACGCCGGACGUCCUGCUGACUUUCUCCGUCUGAAGAUGAUGAGAGACUCUCGCCGCUGCCAAACAACAACACGGCCCACAAAGUCUGGACGAGAUACUGAGCUGAAUUUAUGAACGGACCGCCGGACGAACCUUGAGAGCUUCAUUAAUAACACUCACGGACUCUGGUGACAAACACAUGAACUGCUGUCCUCUGUUUGCCUCUCGCUGUGAGAGAAGAGUCUCAGUGCAAACAGAAUCCAUCUGUCCAUGCCGCAAAUAAAAAUAAAUAAUCUGACCAAAAUAUGUUUUAAAUAUAUGUUGUAAACAGUGAAUCUCAAUGAAAUACAUUUUUGCAAUUUUGCAAUUGGUUUCAACGUUUAUAUACCGAAAUAUAUUUUUAAAAUACAUCUCCAA